AUUGAACGCUGGCGGCAGGCCUAACACAUGCAAGUCGAACGGUAGCACAGAGAGCUUGCUCUCAGGUGACGAGUGGCGGACGGGUGAGCAAUGUCUGGGAAACUGCCCGAUGGAGGGGGAUAACUACUGGAAACGGUAGCUAAUACCGCAUAACGUCACAAGACCAAAGUGGGGGACCUUCGGGCCUCACACCAUCGGAUGUGCCCAGAUGGGAUUAGCUAGUAGGUGGGGUAAUGGCUCACCUAGGCGACGAUACCUAGCUGGUCUGAGAGGAUGACCAGCCACACUGGAACUGAGACACGGUCCAGACUCCUACGGGAGGCAGCAGUGGGGAAUAUUGCACAAUGGGCGCAAGCCUGAUGCAGCCAUGCCGCGUGUAUGAAGAAGGCCUUCGGGUUGUAAAGUACUUUCAGCGGGGAGGAAGGCGGUGGAGUUAAUAACUUCACCGAUUGACGUUACCCGCAGAAGAAGCACCGGCUAACUCCGUGCCAGCCGCCGCCGUAA
rnacentral:rRNA from 1 species